AACCCUUGUGGAGGAGGACGCCGAAGGUGGGGCUAAUGACUGGGGUGAAGUCGUAACAAGGUAGCCGUACCGGAAGGUGCGGCUGGAUCACCUCCUAACAGGGAGACAACAAAAUGUUUAAUAUUAUUAUUUUGUCACCUUAGGUCGAUCGGUAUCUCACGUUCUUAAUUUAUUAAGGAUUUCAUUUCCUAAGUUUUUUCUAGGUCACACCCAUUAUUUUUCCUGGGCCAUUAGCUCAGGUGGUUAGAGCGCACCCCUGAUAAGGGUGAGGUCCCUGGUUCAAGUCCAGGAUGGCCCAUAUCUCUAUGUUGGGGGUAUAGCUCAGUUGGUAGAGCGCCUGCUUUGCAAGCAGGAUGUCAGCGGUUCGAGUCCGCUUACCUCCACUGAUUACCACCUCUUCCAUAAUCUUUGAGAAGGAAAUGUUUUGAGUAGUGAUCAAUUCUGAACGAAUCUAGCUUCCUAAUGAAUUCAUUAAGAUGCUGGACUCAUUGAAUUAAUUUCAUUGUUUUCAGAGAACCUUGACAACUGCAUAGAUUAUUUUUAAAGACAAUAAGCAUCUUUAAUGAUGCAGAUUUAUUAUUUGUGCGAAUGCAUUAAUAACAAUUCUAUUAAGCUGAUGCUUCAAUUUUUGAAGUUAUUGGUCAAGCUACAAAGGGCUCACGGAGGAUACCUAGGCACACAGAGGCG
rnacentral:misc_RNA from 1 species